GUUGGUUGAAAACCACUUGCGGCUUUGGCUGUGGCAUGGGUGAGAUGCGGUGCCCCGAGCCGCCAGGGGCCUUAGCUCACCACCUACCCUUGGUGUGGUGAGGUGAAACCCAGCCCCAAAACAC
ensembl:snoRNA